CCUUCGAUAACGAACGAGACCUUAACCUGCUAAAUAGCCAGGCUAGCUUUGGCUGGUCGCCGGCUUCUUAGAGGGACUAUCGGCUCAAGCCGAUGGAAGUUUGAGGCAAUAACAGGUCUGUAAUGCCCUUAGAUGUUCUGGGCCGCACGCGCGCUACACUGACAGAGCCAACGAGUUAUUCACCUUGGCCGGAAGGUCUGGGUAAUCUUGUUAAACUCUGUCGUGCUGGGGAUAGAGCAUUGCAAUUAUUGCUCUUCAACGAGGAAUGCCUAGUAAGCGCAUGUCAUCAGCAUGCGUUGAUUACGUCCCUGCCCUUUGUACACACCGCCCGUCGCUACUACCGAUG
rnacentral:rRNA from 1 species